rnacentral:rRNA from 1 species
AGAGUUUGAUCAUGGCUCAGGACGAACGCUGGCGGCGUGCUUAACACAUGCAAGUCGAACGGAGGAUUUAUUUCGGUAAAUCCUUAGUGGCGAACGGGUGAGUAACGCGUGGGCAAUCUGCCCUUCAGAUGGGGACAACAUCCCGAAAGGGGUGCUAAUACCGAAUACGAUCACGCUGCCGCAUGGCGGUGUGAUGAAAGAUGGCCUCUAUUUAUAAGCUAUCGCUGAAGGAUGAGCCUGCGUCUGAUUAGCUAGUUGGUGGGGUAACGGCCUACCAAGGCGAUGAUCAGUAGCCGGUCUGAGAGGAUGAACGGCCACAUUGGGACUGAGACACGGCCCAAACUCCUACGGGAGGCAGCAGUGGGGAAUAUUCCGCAAUGGACGAAAGUCUGACGGAGCAACGCCGCGUGAGUGAUGAAGGUUUUCGGACUGUAAAGCUCUGUUGUUUAGGACGAAAGUGCCUGUUGCAAAUAGUUACAGGUAUUGACGGUACUGAACGAGGAAGCCACGGCUAACUACGUGCCAGCAGCCGCGGUAAUACGUANGUGGCAAGCGUUGUCCGGAAUUAUUGGGCGUAAAGAGCAUGUANGCGGGAAUCUAAGUCUGUUGUGAAAAUGCGGGGCUCAACCCCGUAUUGCGAUGGAAACUGGGUUUCUUUGAGUGCANGANAGGAAAGGGGAAUUCCCAGUGUANCGGUGAAAUGCNUANAUAUUGGGAGGAACACCAGUGGCGAAGGCNCCUUUCUGGACUGNGNCUGACGCUGAGAUGCGAAAGCCNGGGGUACCGAACCGGGAUUAGNUCCCCCAGNGGGCNAAAGGGGCCCUUUUUUGGGAANUGGNUUCUUNACCGNUUAAGAUGCCGAAAAGCCAGGGGUAACCNAAACNGGAUUUANAUACCCCGGGUAGUCCUGCCCGUAAACNAUGGGUACCAGGUGUAAGGGGGUAUCGACCCCCCCNUGUGCCGGAGUUAACGCAAUAAGUACCCCCGCCUGGGGAGUACGGCCGCAAGGUUGAAACUCAAAGGAAUUGACGGGGGCCCGCACAAGCGGUGGAGUAUGUGGUUUAAUUCGACGCAACGCGAAGAACCUUACCAAGGCUUGACAUUGAGUGAAAUGUUAAGAGAUUAGCACCCCUCUUCGGAGGCACGAAAACAGGUGGUGCAUGGCUGUCGUCGGCUCGUGUCGUGAGAUGUUGGGUUAAGUCCCGCAACGAGCGCAACCCCUAUCCUAUGUUACCAGCGGGUAAUGCCGGGGACUCAUGGGAGACUGCCAGGGACAACCUGGAGGAAGGCGGGGAUGACGUCAAGUCAUCAUGCCCCUUAUGUCUUGGGCUACACACGUACUACAAUGGUCGGCAACAAAGGGCUGCGAAACCGCGAGGUGGAGCAAAUCCCAGAAACCCGGCCUCAGUUCGGAUUGCAGGCUGCAACUCGCCUGCAUGAAGUCGGAAUCGCUAGUAAUCGCAGGUCAGCAUACUGCGGUGAAUACGUUCCCGGGCCUUGUACACACCGCCCGUCACACCACGAAAGUUGGUAACACCCGAAGCCGGUGAGGUAACCAGUAAUGGAGCCAGCCGUCUAAGGUGGGGCCGAUGAUUGGGGUGAAGUCGUAACAAGGUAGCC